GCCCCGGUGGUGAAACUGGUAGACACAGCGGACUUAAAAUCCGCCGCUUCCCGAAAGGGUGCGUGCCGGUUCGAUUCCGGCCCGGGGCACCA
rnacentral:tRNA from 1 species